rnacentral:rRNA from 1 species
GCAGUGGGGAAUAUUGCACAAUGGGCGCAAGCCUGAUGCAGCCAUGCCGCGUGUGUGAAGAAGGCCUUCGGGUUGUAAAGCACUUUCAGCGGGGAGGAAGGCGAUAAGGUUAAUAACCUUGUCGAUUGACGUUACCCGCAGAAGAAGCACCGGCUAACUCCGUGCCAGCAGCCGCGGUAAUACGGAGGGUGCAAGCGUUAAUCGGAAUU